UGAGGAACAUGACCUUCGGCGGGGGAUAGCCGGCCCAACGGCCGGGUAAUACCGCGUACGACCACAUGGGGACAUCCCUGAGUGGUGAAAGCAGCAAUGCGCCGAUGGAGUGCCUCGCGGCCUAUCAGCUAGUUGGUGAGGUAACGGCUCACCAAGGCGACGACGGGUANCUGGUCUGAGAGGAUGGCCAGCCACAUUGGGACUGAGACACGGCCCAGACCUCUACGGGAG
rnacentral:rRNA from 1 species